rnacentral:rRNA from 1 species
AACGAACGCUGGCGGCAUGCCUAACACAUGCAAGUCGAACGAGACCUUCGGGUCUAGUGGCGCACGGGUGCGUAACGCGUGGGAACCUGCCCUUAGGUUCGGAAUAACUCCCCGAAAGGGGUGCUAAUACCGGAUAAUGUCUUCGGACCAAAGAUUUAUCGCCUUUGGAUGGGCCCGCGUUGGAUUAGCUAGUUGGUAGGGUAAAAGCAUACCAAGGCGACGAUCCAUAGCUGGUCGGGGAGGAUGAUCAGCCACACUGGGACUGAGACACGGCCCAGACUCCUACGGGAGGCAGCAGUGGGUAAUAUUGGACAAUGGGCGCAAGCCUGAUCCAGCAGUGCCGCGUGAGUGAUGAAGGCCUUAGGGUUGUAAAGCUCUUUUACACGGGAUGAUAAUGACAGUACCGGGAGAAUAAGCUCCGGCUAACUCCGUG